rnacentral:tRNA from 1 species
GGCCAGGUAGCCAAGCAGUAAGGCAAGGGUCUGCAAAACCCUUAUACACGGGUGCAAUUCCCGUCCUGGCCUCCA